UUGCCUAGUGGAUUAAAUAAAACAAUAUCUUGCUUUCAGGAUACCUUGUGAAACUGGUUCAAAAACUGCCAUAUCCCUGCCUAGUUAGUGUCUUAAGGGUGAUUCUGCACUGGCAAUUUUUCAGGGCACCCCUCACACAUCCAUUAAUUUUCAGAAAUAACUUCUGGUAAUCCCCUGCCAUCUAUUUUAUUCCUGCAGUAUCCUGAUUCUGGCACGUGGGGAACCCCAACCAGCCCAUCAGCACUUGCUGGGCAGUUUCUGAAGAGAUGGAAUACACAGCUUUGUUACCUUAUUCAGUCCCACAAUGCAAAACUGUAAGUUAUUAUUAUUAUUCAAUCAAAUUUGGCUGUAUACAUUUGCACAGGCACAUGGGGAAGAGCUCCGGGUAGACCUACACGCCAGCCAGUGAUUAAUAUUGCUGCACUUGCAGGGAUUGCAGGGCUGUGAAGCCAUUUUUAGGGACCUGUGCCAUCCUACAGCAGUUUGUAGUUUGAUAGCAAGAGGAGGAGAAGAAGAGGAGGCACCUGUCUCAUGAGAGACUGACUUUCUGCUGUGACUUUGUCACCUCUCUGAAUGGGCAGUCACCUCAGCAGGAAAGAAGGACACUGCCUUUUACCUGUAAGAGAGGUUUCAAGUCUGUUUGCUGAAGGGAUUAUUGCACUAACUCUUAGGUGUGUAGAUUUAUGGAUUUGAUCAGCGGAAGUCCCCAAGUGCAAAGUCUGUAAGGUCUUUUGCAACAUCAGAAAGGAAGAGCCUACUUGAAAGAGGGAAACAAGAAAGUGCCAGGGAAAGAAACAGAGAAUUCCUACUAAGUAACAUAAAGGGUUAUGUUUGUAAUCAAGGGUCCUAACACUAAAACCUACCGAUAAGAAGCAAAACCCAGUUCCAAGCAUCUGAAAAGUGGAUGCACAUCGUUGGUGAGAAGUCCUACUUUUCCUUCGCAUUUGCCUGUGGUGACUUUAGUAGUGGACUGUAAGAACUUUAGAGAAGCACUAGCCCUAGCACUAGCGCCUUGGACUUUCAGAGUGGGCUUUGACUGGCAGCAACGCCAGCUUUGGGAAGGCAGCGCUGCCCCCCCCCCCCCCCCCCCCCCCCCCCCCCCCCCCCCCCCCCCCCCCCCCCCCCCCCCCCCCCCCCCCCCCCCCCCCCCCCCCCC
rnacentral:lncRNA from 1 species